CCUACGGGCGGCUGCAGUGAGGAAUAUUGGUCAAUGGACGAGAGUCUGAACCAGCCAAGUAGCGUGAAGGAUGACUGCCCUAUGGGUUGUAAACUUCUUUUAUAUGGGAAUAAAACGUUCCACGUGUGGGAUUUUGUAUGUACAAUAUGAAUAAGGAUCGGCUAACUCCGUGCCAGCAGCCGCGGUAAUACGGAGGAUCCGAGCGUUAUCCGGAUUUAUUGGGUUUAAAGGGAGCGUAGGUGGAUUGUUAAGUCAGUUGUGAAAGUUUGCGGCUCAACCGUAAAAUUGCAGUUGAAACUGGCAGUCUUGAGUACAGUAGAGGUGGGCGGAAUUCGUGGUGUAGCGGUGAAAUGCUUAGAUAUCACGAAGAACUCCGAUUGCGAAGGCAGUUCACUGGACUGCAACUGACACUGAGGCUCGAAAGUGUGGGUAUCAAACAGGAUUAGAUACCCCUGUAGUC
rnacentral:rRNA from 1 species